rnacentral:rRNA from 1 species
AUUGAACGCUGGCGGCAUGCUUUACACAUGCAAGUCGAACGGCAGCGCGGGCUUCGGCCUGGCGGCGAGUGGCGAACGGGUGAGUAAUGCAUCGGAACGUGCCCAGUAGUGGGGGAUAGCCCGGCGAAAGCCGAAUUAAUACCGCAUACGACCUGCGGGGGAAAGCGGGGGACCGAAAGACCUCGCGCUAUUGGAGCGGCCGAUGUCGGAUUAGCUAGUUGGUGGGGUAAAGGCUUACCAAGGCGACGAUCCGUAGCUGGUCUGAGAGGACGACCAGCCACACUGGGACUGAGACACGGCCCAGACUCCUACGGGAGGCAGCAGUGGGGAAUUUUGGACAAUGGGGGCAACCCUGAUCCAGCCAUGCCGCGUGCGGGAAGAAGGCCUUCGGGUUGUAAAACGCUUUUGUUCGGGAAGAAAUCCUCUGGGCUAAUACCCCGGGGGGAUGACGGUACCGGAAGAAUAAGCACCGGCUAACUACGUG